rnacentral:lncRNA from 10 species
CAACAUCAUUUAUUGCAAAAUAAAGAACAAGAAACAAGUAUUUUUACUAUUUCACACAGAAAAUAUGUAUUUGUACAAAGAAAGUAGAAAAUAUAUUAUUUUGAACAAAGUAAAAAUUAAUAUAAACAAUCUUUCCCCAUAUAUCAAAAUUUAAACAGUCAAUAUUUAAACUUUAAUUCAGAAAAUGACAACAUAAUUUAUUAAUAUUUUAAUACUAUAUCAUAUUUAGUUGUUUUCUUCAUACACGAUUGCAGUUUAGGAACAUAUAUACAUAUCAUACAUAUCAUUAAGUAAAACUGGAAUAUCUAACAUGUUCUGAUAUAAUUUUUAUGAUAGAUAUAAUAGAGUACUUCUCAUAUAUCCCACACCCAGCUUUCCCUAUUAUGAAUAUCUUACAAUAUUAUGCUACAUUGGUUAAAAUUAGUUAACUGAAAGAUGGAAUGAAGGAAAAUUAGCUUACAUUGAUACAUAAGUAUUAACUAAAGCCCAUACUCUAUUCAGAUAGCCUUAGUUUUUACCCAAUGUCCUUUUUCUGUUCCAGGAUUCUAUCUAGGAUACCCUAUGACACAUAGUUGCCAAGUCUCUUUAUGUUCAUCUUAACUGUGACAGUUUUUCAGACUUUUUUUUUUUGGUUUUGAUAACCUUGACGAUUUUGAGGAGUACUUAUCAGAUAUUUUGAAGGAUGCCCCUCUACUGCAAUUUUUCUGAUGUUUUUACUCAUGAUUAGACUGGAGUUAGGGUUUGGGGAAGAAUAUCAUAGACAUAAAGUGCCACCGUCAUCAUAUCAUAUCUAAGAUAGAUGCUAAAGGGAUGAUUUACAACUGUUAAUGUUGACCUUAAUCACUGAUGUGCCAUAAUGUUUUUUAGGUUUCUCCACUGUAAGGUCAUUUUUCCUCCCCUUUCCAUGUAGUACUCUUUGAAAGGAAGUCACUAUGCAUAACCCACGCUUGAGAGGAGAGGAGUCACGUUCCACCUCCUUAAGGCAGAAUAAUACCUAGGUAGAUUUAUUCUGUCACUUUCCCCUAUUUAUCUAUUUAUGUAUUAGUAAUCUAUGCUUCUAUUAAUCCAUUUUUUAUUUCUGUCAGUAUGGCUUCAUUCCAGCAGAGAGAAAUCUGACUCCCAGUGUCCACCAUCCAUUUGUUCUCCUCAAUUCCAGUGUGCACAGGAGCAAUACAAAAAUCAUUAACCCAUACCCCCAUAGGAACAACUUUAUCAACAAAAUUAUAAUGUCUAUGUACAGUUACUUCUGCCUUUAGUUUCACAGCCUCUACUCAUUUACAAAAUUACUUAGGUUGCCACGUUUUCUUCCAAUCCCCUUAAGUAAGGCUGCAUUAUACUUUUGUACUAGGCAUAUUAUUUUAUCACAUUUUACAUCUCAUCCUGGGAUUCCCCCAUACCUCCUGAAAAUAGUGUUUUUUUAAAUUGUCAUAUAUUAAAGCUCACUCUUUGCAUUUUAAAUUCUAUGGGUUUUUAUAAAUUCAUAGUUUCAUGUAGGUCUUUUGAUGGUGUAUUUUCUCAGUUUUUGUUUGUCUGAAAGUCUUUAUUUCUGCUUCACUGUUGAAGGAGAAGGUUAAGUUUGCUGGAUACAGAAUUUCUGUUUGGGAGGUUUUUUAAAAUUUUAAAUAUUCACUAUUCUCUCUUCCUGCUUGAAUGGAAUCACCAUGCUGUGUUUCUCACUGUAACUCCUUGUUCUUUGCUAGGUACAGUGGUUAUUUUCCCUGUCUAAUUUAUUUCAAGAUUUUCUUAUUAUCUUAGUUUUCUGAAGUGAGAAUAUGUUAUCCUUAGGUGUAAUAUUUUUGGAAUUUAUCCUGCUUGGUUUUCCUUGAGCUUCCUGGAUCUAUGGUUUUGUGUAUGUCAUUAAUUUUGAAUGCUCUUGACCAUUAUUACUUCAACUAUUUUGUCUGCUUUUGCCUCUCUUUCUUCUCCCCCCUGGCAUUCCAAUUACAUUUUCAUUUACCUUUUGUAAUUAUCCCCACAGUUCUUGGGUGUUCAGUUUUAUUCUCUUCUUUGCAUUCAGAAGUUUCUAUUGAUAUAUCUUCAAGUUCACUGUUUCUUCCCUUGGUUGUAUCCAGUGGACUGAUUCACUGAGAUGGAGUUUUACUCUUGUUGCCCAGGUUGGAGUGCAAUGGUGUGAUCUCGGCUCACUGCAACCUCCACCUCCUAGGUUCCAGUGAUUCUCCUGCCUCAGCCUCCCAAGUAGCUGGGAUUACCAGUGCAUGCCACCACGCCUGGCUAAUUUUGUAUUUUUUUUUUUUUUAGUAGAGACAGGUUUUCACCAUGUUGAUCAGGCUGGUCUCGAACUUCUGACCUCAAGUGAUCCACCCGCCUCGGCCUCCCAAAGUGCUGGGAUUAUAGGCCAUGAGCCACCACACCCAGCCCAAAGUCGUUCUUAAAUCACUGUAAUGUUUUUGAUUUUUAAAAUUUAUUUUGAACCCUUUGUAUUAAGAAUUCUGACUCUAUUUUUUUUUUUUUUUUUUUUUUUUUUUUUUUUUUUUUUUUUUUUUUUUUUUUUUAGUGUUUGACUUCUGAUAACUUCUAAGUCUUACUCCUCUGUAUGUCUUUUGUUCCACAUCUGAGCAAGCUAAUAAGAAAGCCUGGGUGCUUUCUGCUUUGGUGCUUACAGGAGAUCCAAACCAUACAACCCUCUGCUUGCACACAGGAACUCUCACCUCAAUCUCACUUUCUAACCACAAGCAAAACCCAAAGGCAGUCUCCUUUCCUUUCUCCCAUAAACCAUUGCGGACCUACUUGGGAGGCCUGCACCCCAUUGUCCACAAAAACUUGAAUUCUGUAAGUAAUAAUUUUUUAAGCUCUUUUGGAGUGGGUUUCACAUCCUCAGUCUCAACAUCUGAA